UACGUAGGGGGCUAGCGUUGUCCGGAAUCAUUGGGCGUAAAGAGCGUGUAGGCGGUCCGGUAAGUCCGCUGUGAAAGUCGGGGGCUCAACCCUCGAAUGCCGGUGGAUACUGUCGGGCUAGAGUGCGGAAGAGGCGAGUGGAAUUCCUGGUGUAGCGGUGGAAUGACGCAGAUAUCAGGAGGAACACCAAUGGCGAAGGCAGCUCGCUGGGACGGUACUGACGCUGAGGCGGCGAAAGCGUGGGGAGCAAACAGG
rnacentral:rRNA from 1 species